rnacentral:rRNA from 1 species
UACGUAGGGUGCAAGCGUUAAUCGGAAUUACUGGGCGUAAAGCGUGCGCAGGCGGUUGUGCAAGACAGAUGUGAAAUCCCCGGGCUCAACCUGGGAACUGCAUUUGUGACUGCACGGCUGGAGUGCGGCAGAGGGGGAUGGAAUUCCGCGUGUAGCAGGUGAAAUGCGUAGAUAUGCGGAGGAACACCGAUGGCGAAGGCAAUCCCCUGGGCCUGCACUGGACGCUCAUGCACGAAGACGUGGGGAGCAAACAGG